CCCUUAGAUGUUCUGGGCCGCACGCGCGCUACACUGAUGCAUUCAACGAGUCUAAAACCUGCUCUGAUAGGGGUGGGUAAUCUUUUGAAUGUGCAUCGUGAUUGGGAUAGAUGAUUGCAAUUUUUCAUCUUCAACGAGGAAUGCCUAGUAAACGCAAGUCAUCAGCUUGCAUUGAUUACGUCCCUGCCCUUUGUACAUACCGCCCGUCGCUCCUACCGAUUGAAUGAUCCGAUGAAUAUCAUGGAUUGAGGAUGCAAGCAGGUUCGCCUGUCUUCAUCUUCGAGAAGUGAAGUAAAUCUUAUCAUUUAGAGGAAGGAGAAGUCGUAACA
rnacentral:rRNA from 1 species